ACGAAUUGAAAUCUAUGGUCAACACGUAAGUAUUUAACCGUAAGUUCACAUUAAGUGUAUAUUUAUUAUGUAAAUUGAAGUUUGUUAUUUUUUUUAUUCUUUUUAAUUCAGAGGCUUAAGAAUGUUUUAUGCUGAAAUAACACAAGAGCUCGACCUCUUACUUGGGUUUCUGUUAAGUGUGCUCAACAGCCGGGCAGUACAGAAUGUGGGUAUUACGUGAUGAAGUUCAUGCAAGACAUAGUAAGGCAAAAGAGCAUUACAAUUGCAGAUGUGUUGACGAGACAAGCGCCUUAUACUCAAUCUGAAUUGGAUAUGGUGAGAGUGAAAUACUGUGACUUUCUAGGACGCUACAUAUGAUACAUGUUUUUAUUGCAAUGAACAGGUAAUUUUUAUAUUUAUAAUUUAGGUAUAUCUUGAUACGAUGUCAAUUUCUGUAGGAUUAUGUAUUGAUCAUAUUUGUUAGAUAUUAUUUUUUGUAGAACAACAUUGGUUUACAGUUGAUUAAUGAAAAUUAAUUAGU